GAUGAACGCUGGCGGUAUGCCUAACACAUGCAAGUCGUACGAGAGUUUUUAACUCUAGUGGCGGACGGGUGAGUAACACGUGAGAAUUUGCCUUUAGGAGGGGGACAACAAUCGGAAACGGUUGCUAAUACCCAUAUGCUUUCGAGUGAAAUGGAUUUUUCCGUCCUAAAGAGAAGCUUGCGGCUGAUUAGCUUGUUGGUGAGGUAAUGGCUCACCAAGGCGACGACGGGUAGCCGGCCUGAGAGGGCGACCGGCCACACUGGGACUGAGACACGGCCCAGACUCCUACGGGAGGCAGCAGUGGGGGAAUAUUGGGCAAUGGAGGAAACUCUGACCCAGCGACGCCGCGUGAAGGGGAUGAAAGGGCCUUCGGGUUGUAAACCUACUUUCAGUAGGGAAGAAGCGAAAGUGACGGUACCUACAGAAGAAGCACCGGCUAACUAAUGUG
rnacentral:rRNA from 1 species